UUUAAAAUAUUUUUGUAUUCCCAAGGUCAUGCUAGAUGGAUGCCAUCAUCCGGAAAGAGCUCUGCUAUGUCCCAUCAUUGUGAAUCCUCAAGGUCACUUCAAGACCAACACUGGGCUUUGAAUCCACGGAAGCUAUUGAAAUGGAAGUGACUGAAAGCUUUAUCAUUCCUGGUUAUGAAAAGGUCUUGUGAAGGUGCCUGUGCUUUACACCUCUCGUACAGCAUUUCUCUACAUGGCUACUACUCACCAUUUCUUUCUGUUUUUUCCUUGGCUCUUUUCUUCCUACAGUCUUUCUGUUUUUCAUUUGUGGUGAAGAAAUCAAUAAUUAGACUAUGAUGUGAAUCCAAAUAAUGCUGCAUUUUCUAUUGAGAGGAUAAAAUCAACACUGUUUUCAUUUAUAGUCAUCUUUAGUUGCCUUUCAGCAGUGAAAUUACAUCAGAAGAUUCAAUAUUGAUAAUGGUACUAACCUGAGUUUCAAAGUUGGGCUUUUCAUGUAGGGUAUUCUUGGCACUGAACCCAUCCUGAUAUGGAUUCUCUUUAAUCAUAUUGGCUUCAGCUGACACAGGAAGGCAGAGAAACCCAGCAAUCAGCCUGUGAUAAGUUUGCCACGGGACCACAUACUAUUGCAAAAGCAACCAUAUGGACUUGCUGAGGAAAGCGAAAUUCACAGCAGGCAGCGUGCAGUGGGCUGGCUCCCAUGCACUCACAGGGUUCCAGGAAACUGAGGCAGAAGCACCAACAUGAGGAAGGUGCCAAAGAGAGACAUGCACUUUUCCUAAGAAGACCCUUUCCCCAGAGCAGGAUGCACUGCACUGGCAACAAUACAGGAAGGAAGGGAGCAUGACAAGGAAUAAUAAUUACUGCCAUGGAAAACUCAGAACAAUUGUGAACACCAAAUCUAAAAAGUUCUGCUUCUCAGGAUUGCCACCUGGAAUAUAAAACUCCAUAUCAACAUAAAAUGAUCAAGUGCAUCAUCAUGUUUAAAGAAUUCUUCAGUGUCUCUUUUCUCCUUGGACAACACAAAGUACAGUUAUUCUAAAGGUUCCAAACUGAGGAUGGGAGAAAGAGGAUGUGAUUGGAUUAUCUAAAAGCCCCCAAGCAGUGAUUGACCAAAAACUUCCUCCUGACUAGAAUGUCUGCUCAUUGCCACAUCAGUGCUCCAACAGAGUGUCUUGGCAACACUCCCUACUGGGUUCAGCAACUCCUUCUGCAGCUGGGAUUUCUUAAAAGAAGUGAGCAGCAUUUGCCUUGCAGUGCUCCAGCAACAAAACAAGCAAAGCUUCCAUGGGAAUCAGAUAUUUGAAGAGCAUUCCCCAUCUUGCCCUUGCUCUUCCUUCAUGUAACCAAGGAGGUCAGAGCCACUCAUGCACAUUUUGGCAAUUACAGUGCUCACAGUAGGGCUUAUAUACAGAUACAAUCCUAAACACUAGGCCCUGCCACACAUCACAGGGAACUUCUUGAUUACACUGAUUGUUCGAUGAAUAACCUGAAUGUGUCAAGUUGAAGGACUUGUGACAGAUCAAGACUGUAUCCCCUGUAGCUGACACUUGCCACCCAGUGGGCGUGUGUGUGUGUGUGUGUGUGUGCUUGGUGAGGAGUACAAGGUUCAGCUAAAGAAAUUCCCCAAAGCCAAAAAGAUUGUAGAGUGAAUAAACAUAAACAUAAGCAUGCAGCUUUUUCUUAACUAUAGCCGAUAAAGUAAAGCAAAAUCCAGUAACAAUAUCAAUAUACACAUACACCCAAAUCCCCAAAUAUUCAAUUUUUCAUGGUUCUGCAGUGAUUCAUGGAAAUUAUCCAGAGACAAAGGGAAUCCAUGUAAAAAUCACAAGCAAUAACUCAAAAUGCAUCAAUCUUGUCUGGCUAAUCCAACUUCUACUGUAAGAAGUCAGCCUCCAUUUUUGGAAAAGACUUUGAUACUUACAGAAAUGGGACCAUGUAAAUAUACCCUUGACUAAAAUUCAGCCUUACACUCCAAGUUGUUUCCACAAUCUAAUAACCUUCAAGCAAAAGAACUGAACAAGUUUUAUUGGGCCACUACAACUUUAAGUAAAUACCAUAUGAGAACCCUAGAGGUGGAAACAUCUGCGAGAAAUAUUCAAGUGCUACAGAAGACCCUUACUGAGGCCUUAAAGAUAGGCUGUGGGAUUUCUAUUUUAAAAAACUAACAAUCUUUUAUUAAUAAAAUUUUCUGUGAUCUUAAAAACUUUCUUGGUGUUGACUCAGUUCUGCAAACAUCUGCCUUCAUUUGGAGGAACUGGUAAUAGUCCUCCUACCAGUGCAGGCCAAUGAGUGACACACAUUUCCACCUUUUGAUGAGAAAGUUUUAAACCCAACAUUAGGCAAAAGGGUGUUUCUCAGAAGAAAAGCAGGCAGUUAGCUUUGACCAAGGGCUAUUUGAAUCACCCCAGAGCAGUACAGAUGCUGGAGAGAGAGAAGAUGGAGAAUGGUUCUAAACCAGAUGCACUUGGUUACUUCCUCUCCUUGCAACAUUGCUGCAAAAAGAGGAAACGGGGACACCCAGGCUGAAUAACUGUCUUCAGCCAAAGCUGUUAGGAAACCCUCUCAGUAACCUAUGAUAUCACCUCUUAUGACACAGAUUUGUCAUCUUCCUCAUAGAACUUUAUUCCAAAAGCAAGAUUUAUAGUUUUUUCCAUGCAUACUAUUGAUACUAAAAUACAAGCCAAUGAUUUAGACAAAAAAAAAAAAUGCAACAUCUCAGGCAAAGUCCUUCCAGAAAUUAAAAUUUUGGCAUUAACUCCACUGACUAACCAAAUAAACGGUAAGACACGGUAAGCUUUAGCUCAUAUGGAGACUCAAAGUUUGGACCAAAACUUAGGAGCUCCAUGUUUCAAUUUAUCUGUCAGAGAUCUCUCUGAGUUUGUUUCAUUCUUCUCAGUCUUAGAAUACUGACCUAAUUAAAAAAGGGCACUGGGGUUGAUAAUACUUGCAAAGUUUCCAGAUAUCUGUGUCUGAUGCCCCAUG